rnacentral:snoRNA from 1 species
AUUCGGCAUGAUAACUGGACGACGGUUUCGAUUGCUCCUACGACACUAGUCUUUUAAGUUGCCGAUAGAGCAAAAACCACAUGCGAGGGAAUCUUACACGUUUCUCGGAGCUGUUCACCGGCAACCACACAUGACGUUAUUUUACGUUUAGUCUC